AGAGUUUGAUCAUGGCUCAGGACGAACGCUGGCGGCGCGCCUAACACAUGCAAGUCGAACGAGCGAGAGAGAGCUUGCUUUCUCGAGCGAGUGGCGAACGGGUGAGUAACGCGUGAGGAACCUGCCUCAAAGAGGGGGACAACAGUUGGAAACGACUGCUAAUACCGCAUAAGCCCACGGUGCCGCAUGGCACAGAGGGAAAAGGAGCAAUCCGCUUUGAGAUGGCCUCGCGUCCGAUUAGCUAGUUGGUGAGGUAACGGCCCACCAAGGCAACGAUCGGUAGCCGGACUGAGAGGUUGAACGGCCACAUUGGGACUGAGACACGGCCCAGACUCCUACGGGAGGCAGCAGUGGGGAAUAUUGCACAAUGGGGGAAACCCUGAUGCAGCGACGCCGCGUGGAGGAAGAAGGUCUUCGGAUUGUAAACUCCUGUUGUUGGGGAAGAUAAUGACGGUACCCAACAAGGAAGUGACGGCUAACUACGUGCCAGCAGCCGCGGUAAAACGUAGGUCACAAGCGUUGUCCGGAAUUACUGGGUGUAAAGGGAGCGCAGGCGGGAAGACAAGUUGGAAGUGAAAUCUAUGGGCUCAACCCAUAAACUGCUUUCAAAACUGUUUUUCUUGAGUAGUGCAGAGGUAGGCGGAAUUCCCGGUGUAGCGGUGGAAUGCGUAGAUAUCGGGAGGAACACCAGUGGCGAAGGCGGCCUACUGGGCACCAACUGACGCUGAGGCUCGAAAGUGUGGGUAGCAAACAGGAUUAGAUACCCUGGUAGUCCACACCGUAAACGAUGAUUACUAGGUGUUGGAGGAUUGACCCCUUCAGUGCCGCAGUUAACACAAUAAGUAAUCCACCUGGGGAGUACGACCGCAAGGUUGAAACUCAAAGGAAUUGACGGGGGCCCGCACAAGCAGUGGAGUAUGUGGUUUAAUUCGACGCAACGCGAAGAGCCUUACCAAGUCUUGACAUCCCUUGACAGGCAUAGAAAUAUGUUUUCUCUUCGGAGCAAGGAGACAGGUGGUGCAUGGUUGUCGUCAGCUCGUGUCGUGAGAUGUUGGGUUAAGUCCCGCAACGAGCGCAACCCUUAUGGUCAGUUACUACGCAAGAAGACUCUGGCCAGACUGCCGUUGACAAAACGGAGGAAGGUGGGGAUGACGUCAAAUCAUCAUGCCCUUUAUGACUUGGGCUACACACGUACUACAAUGGCGUUAAACAAAGAGAAGCGAGACCGCGAGGUGGAGCAAAACUCAGAAACAACGUCCCAGUUCGGACUGCAGGCUGCAACUCGCCUGCACGAAGUCGGAAUUGCUAGUA
rnacentral:rRNA from 1 species